rnacentral:lncRNA from 1 species
CGAAGGCAUCACCUGGAACUUGUGGCCCCUGAGGAACAAUCAGAGCCCCCUUUGCCGCACGGUGCACGUCGGGCGCGUCCCCUCCCCGUGCAGCCGGGAGCCUGCGAUGGCCCGAGGUGAUGGCCUCUGGGUUGAAUGCAGUCACUUUCUGUCCCUCCUGGGUUUCACUGCUGACCCUGUGUCCCGCAGCUCUCAGAGGCCCCGUGGUGACACUCGGUUAGCCACGCUCCUCUCCUUCCGUCCCUCUCACUGCUCUGAUUUGUGCCCCUGACCCCACAUGCACCACUGGACCACCGUGAGGGAAGGACGGUCUGGAUUUCAAGGUCCCUGGCAGGGAAACAACAGUGUCAAGCUCACAGACGUCCUCCGAGAUCACCAUCAAGCACCCCGGGAGGAAACAGGACCUUGGUGUGGCCGGUGAGGAGCAGGUGCUUUAUGAGCUCAUCGCUGUGGCCCGCCGCCCCCCCGAUCUGUGUCAGUGUGAAGUAAGAGGCCAGCAAAGAGGUGUCAGGGAAACAAGGCAGCCCCUGCCCCUUCCUCCUGCUGCCACGUGACACUGAGCCGCCCACGCGCCAAGUGGGGCCCUUGUGCUGGUGAAGCAUCAACCCCGAGUCCUCAGUCACCACCGUGGAGUCAGAGAGCGGACCCGGGUCACCCUCCCCCAGCAGGCAGAAGAAAGUGAAUGGAGGCCUGGACGCCAGGGUGGGUCCUGCCCCCGUGUCCAUGGGAACCAGCCUUGACUGAGAAGAGGAAGUGGGGUGAGGACAGCCUUGACAUCCCACAUUUCUCCUUCCAGAGGACACAAGAACCUUCAGUGUCAACGUUCACCAGCACACCACCCCCGGAAAGUCUGGAAUCCUCAGUCAGAAAAGUUCAGUAUCUCGAAGUGGGCCCCCAUCCAGGUGUCUGCCCUGGGGACAGAGGCACCUGUGUUCACUGUCACAGUCAACUUUCUUCUUUCAUGUCAAAAUUGAUUCUGAAAACUCAACAGAGCCCAUCACCUUCACUUUUGUGGGACUAGCAGCACUGGGCCACCUCUCACAGCCUGUCAUACUAUAUUCAGUGUGAGCAAGAGUUUUCUAAAGCUGGGCUCUGGCCAUCUUUGCAUAAUGUAUGAAUUAAAAAUAAUUUUAUUCCCUCCUCUGUCUUUG